CGCACAUUGCGCCCUUUGGUAUCCCAUGGGGCAUGCCUGUUCGAGCGUCAUUACACCUCUCAAGCUCUGCUUGGUACUGAGACGGGGCUGGUAAGAUAGCCCCCCUCUAAAUCUAGUGGUGGUUUGCCUACCGCCGGAGCGCACUUCAUCUUCUCGCUCCCGGUCUGGUGGUGCUAGCCCUCCAAAACCCUCCUUGGUUGACCUCGGAUCAGGUAGGAAUACCCGCUGAACUUAA
rnacentral:misc_RNA from 1 species